rnacentral:rRNA from 1 species
CAGUAGCCGCGGGAAUACGAAGGGGGCUAGCGUUGUUCGGAUUUACUGGGCGUAAAGCGCACGUAGGCGGAUCGAUCAGUCAGGGGUGAAAUCCCAGAGCUCAACUCUGGAACUGCCUUUGAUACUGUCGAUCUGGAGUAUGGAAGAGGUGAGUGGAAUUCCGAGUGUAGAGGUGAAAUUCGUAGAUAUUCGGAGGAACACCAGUGGCGAAGGCGGCUCACUGGUCCAUUACUGACGCUGAGGUGCGAAAGCGUGGGGAGCAAACAGGAUUAGAGACCCGCGUAGUCCCUGUCUCUUAUAC